UAGCUAGUUGGUGGGGUAAGGGCCUACCAAGGCGACGAUCGGUAGCUGGUCUGAGAGGAUGACCAGCCACACUGGAACUGAGACACGGUCCAGACUCCUACGGGAGGCAGCAGUGGGGAAUAUUGGACAAUGGGGGCAACCCUGAUCCAGCAAUGCCGCGUGUGUGAAGAAGGCCUGAGGGUUGUAAAGCACUUUCAGUGGGGAGGAGGGUUGAUAGGUUAAGAGCUAAUUAACUGGACGUUACCCACAGAAGAAGCACCGGCUAACUCCGUGCCAGCAGCCGCGGUAAUACGGAGGGUGCGAGCGUUAAUCGGAAUUACUGGGCGUAAAGGGUGCGUAGGUGGUUGAUUAAGUUAUCUGUGAAAUUCCUGGGCUUAACCUGGGACGGUCAGAUAAUACUGGUUGACUCGAGUAUGGGAGAGGGUAGUGGAAUUUCCGGUGUAGCGGUGAAAUGCGUAGAGAUCGGAAGGAACACCAGUGGCGAAGGCGGCUACCUGGCCUAAUACUGACACUGAGGCACGAAAGCGUGGGGAACAAACAGGAUUAGAUACCCUGGUAGUCCACGCUGUAAACGAUGUCAACUAGCUGUUGGUUAUAUGAAAAUAAUUAGUGGCGC
rnacentral:rRNA from 1 species